CAGGCUUAACACAUGCAAGUCGAGGGGCAGCAUGGUCUUAGCUUGCUAAGACUGAUGGCGACCGGCGCACGGGUGAGUAACACGUAUCCAACCUGCCGUCUACUCUUGGACAGCCUUCUGAAAGGAAGAUUAAUACAAGAUGGCAUCAUGAGUCCGCAUGUUCACAUGAUUAAAGGUAUUCCGGUAGACGAUGGGGAUGCGUUCCAUUAGAUAGUAGGCGGGGUAACGGCCCACCUAGUCUUCGAUGGAUAGGGGUUCUGAGAGGAAGGUCCCCCACAUUGGAACUGAGACACGGUCCAAACUCCUACGGGAGGCAGCAGUGAGGAAUAUUGGUCAAUGGGCGAGAGCCUGAACCAGCCAAGUAGCGUGAAGGAUGACUGCCCUAUGGGUUGUAAGCUUCUUUUAUAAAGGAAUAAAGUCGGGUAUGGAUACCCGUUUGCAUGUACUUUAUGAAUAGGGAUCGGCUAACUCCGUGCCAGCAGCCGCGGUAAUACGGAGGAUCCGAGCGUUAUCCGGAUUUAUUGGGUUUAAAGGGAGCGUAGAUGGAUGUUUAAGUCAGUUGUGAAAGUUUGCGGCUCAACCGUAAAAUUGCAGUUGAUACUGGAUAUCUUGAGUGCAGUUGAGGCAGGCGGAAUUCGUGGUGUAGCGGUGAAAUGCUUAGAUAUCACGAAGAACUCCGAUUGCGAAGGCAGCCUGCUAAGCUGCAACUGACAUUGAGGCUCGAAAGUGUGGGUAUCAAACAGGAUUAGAUACCCUGGUAGUCCACACGGUAAACGAUGAAUACUCGCUGUUUGCGAUAUACGGCAAGCGGCCAAGCGAAAGCGUUAAGUAUUCCACCUGUGGAGUACGCCGACAACGGUGAAACUCAAAGGAAUUGACGGGGGCCCGCACAAGCGGAGGAACAUGUGGUUUAAUUCGAUGAUACGCGAGGAACCUUACCCGGGCUUAAAUUGCAGAUGAAUUACGGUGAAAGCCGUAAGCCGCAAGGCAUCUGUGAAGGUGCUGCAUGGUUGUCGUCAGCUCGUGCCGUGAGGUGUCGGCUUAAGUGCCAUAACGAGCGUAACCCUUGUUGUCAGUUACUAACAGGUUCCGCUGAGGACUCUGACAAGACUGCCAUCGUAAGAUGUGAGGAAGGUGGGGAUGACGUCAAAUCAGCACGGCCCUUACGUCCGGGGCUACACACGUGUUACAAUGGGGGGUACAGAGGGCCGCUACCACGCGAGUGGAUGCCAAUCCCAAAAACCUCUCUCAGUUCGGACUGGAGUCUGCAACCCGACUCCACGAAGCUGGAUUCGCUAGUAAUCGCGCAUCAUCCACGGCGCGGUGAAUACGUUCCCGGGCCUUGUAUACACCGCCCGUCAAGCCAUGGGAGCCGGGGGUACCUGAAGUGCGUAACCGCGAGGAGCGCCCUAGGGUAAAACUGGUGACUGGGG
rnacentral:rRNA from 1 species